GAUUUCAACUAAAAAAUUCAUCAAGUACAAAGUUGUAUAACUCAUCAAUAUCUAUAACUUUUAUUUUGAUAAUUUCUUUAUCCGAUGAAGCGAUAGUAACAUUGUUCACAAAAAAUUACAUAUCUCUCUUAUAGUUUAUAGACUAUAUAAGAGAUAUGUACAUUUUGUGAACAAUAUUACAAAUAACUUUCUCGGAUGAAGAAAUAACCCAAAUAAAAGUAAUAGAUCUUGAUGAGUUAUACCACUUUGUUAUUGAUGACUUUUCAGUUGAAAUC
rnacentral:pre_miRNA from 1 species